AUCGCUUGUUGGCCUUUUGUCUACGAUCAAGUGUAGUACCUGUUCUUACCAGUUUGGCAUGUGAUUGAGUCCUCUAUCCGAGGACAAUGUAUUACAUGGAUUUGGGAGCAGGGAGUUGGAAUAGAUGCUUGCCCCAUCCCCUCCACGUAUCACCUAUCGACCUGGAAUUGCAGUACCUCAAGGAUCAGUGCACCCCCU